rnacentral:rRNA from 1 species
UACGUAGGGGGCAAGCGUUGUCCGGAAUCAUUGGGCGUAAAGAGCGUGUAGGCGGCCCGAUAAGUCCGCCGUGAAAGUCCAGGGCUCAACCCUGGAAUGCCGGUGGAAACUGUCGGGCUGGAGUCCGGAAGAGGCGAGUGGAAUUCCUGGUGUAGCGGUGAAAUGCGCAGAUAUCAGGAGGAACACCGAUUGCGAAGGCAGCUCGCUGGGACGUCACUGACGCUGAGACGCGAAAGCGUGGGGAGCAAACAGG